UUAUUGGGCGUAAAGAGCUCGUAGGCGGUUUGUCGCGUCUGCCGUGAAAGUCCGGGGCUCAACUCCGGAUCUGCGGUGGGUACGGGCAGACUAGAGUGAUGUAGGGGAGACUGGAAUUCCUGGUGUAGCGGUGAAAUGCGCAGAUAUCAGGAGGAACACCGAUGGCGAAGGCAGGUCUCUGGGCAUUAACUGACGCUGAGGAGCGAAAGCAUGGGGAGCGAACAGGAUUAGAUACCCUGGUAGUCCAUGCCGUAAACGUUGGGCACUAGGUGUGGGGGACAUUCCACGUUUUCCGCGCCGUAGCUAACGCAUUAAGUGCCCCGCCUGGGGAGUACGGCCGCAAGGCUAAAACUCAAAGGAAUUGACGGGGGCCCGCACAAGCGGCGGAGCAUGCGGAUUAAUUCGAUGCAACGCGAAGAACCUUACCAAGGCUUGACAUGAACCGGAAAUACCUGGAAACAGGUGCCCCGCUUGACGGUCGGUUUACAGGUGGUGCAUGGUUGUCGUCAGCUCGUGUCGUGAGAUGUUGGGUUAAGUCCCGCAACGAGCGCAACCCUCGUUCUAUGUUGCCAGCGCGUGAUGGCGGGGACUCAUAGGAGACUGCCGGGGUCAACUCGGAGGAAGGUGGGGACGACGUCAAAUCAUCAUGCCCCUUAUGUCUUGGGCUUCACGCAUGCUACAAUGGCCGGUACAAAGGGUUGCGAUACUGUGAGGUGGAGCUAAUCCCAAAAAGCCGGUCUCAGUUCGGAUUGGGGUCUGCAACUCGACCCCAUGAAGUCGGAGUCGCUAGUAAUCGCAGAUCAGCAACGCUGCGGUGAAUACGUUCCCGGGCCUUGUACACACCGCCCGUCAAGUCACGAAAGUUGGUAACACCCGAAGCCGGUGGCCUAACCCCUUGUGGGAGGGAGCUGUCGAAG
rnacentral:rRNA from 1 species